GACGAACGCUGGCGGCGCGCUUAACACAUGCAAGUCGAACGGAAAGGCCUGCUUUCCCUUGUGGAUUGCGGGUACUCGAGUGGCGAACGGGUGAGUAACACGUGAGUGAUCUGCCCCCAACUUGGGUAUAAGCCUGGGAAACUGGGUCUAAUUCCCGAUAGGACUGCAGGGUGGUGCCUGUGGUGGAAAACGAUUUUCUAGUGGUUGGGGAUGAGCUCGCGGCCUAUCAGCUUGUUGGUGGGGGAAUGGCCUACCAAGGCGGCGACGGGUAGCCGGCCUGAGAGGGUGGACGGCCACAUUGGGACUGAGAUACGGCCCAGACUCCUACGGGAGGCAGCAGUGGGGAAUAUUGCACAAUGGGCGGAAGCCUGAUGCAGCGACGCCGCGUGGGGGAUGACGGCCUUCGGGUUGUAAACUCCUUUCGACCGCGAGGAAGCCACCUGGUUGGAAGGGUGGUGACGGUAGUGGUAGAAGAAGCACCGGCCAACUACGUG
rnacentral:rRNA from 1 species